UACGUAGGGGGCAAGCGUUGUCCGGAAUCACUGGGCGUAAAGCGCGCGCAGGCGGUCAUCUACGUCUGGGGUGAAAGCCCGGAGCUCAACUCUGGGAUUGCCUUGGAUACGGGAUGACUUGAGGAUCGGAGAGGCAAGGGGAAUUCCACGUGUAGCGGUGAAAUGCGUAGAGAUGUGGAGGAACACCUGUGGCGAAGGCGCCUUGCUGGCCGAUUUCUGACGCUGAGGCGCGAAAGCGUGGGGAGCAAACAGG
rnacentral:rRNA from 1 species